GACGAACGCUGGCGGCGUGCUUAACACAUGCAAGUCGAACGGAAAGGCCCUGCUUUUGUGGGGUGCUCGAGUGGCGAACGGGUGAGUAACACGUGAGUAACCUGCCCUUGACUUUGGGAUAACUUCAGGAAACUGGGGCUAAUACCGGAUAGGAGCUCCUGCUGCAUGGUGGGGGUUGGAAAGUUUCGGCGGUUGGGGAUGGACUCGCGGCUUAUCAGCUUGUUGGUGGGGUAGUGGCUUACCAAGGCUUUGACGGGUAGCCGGCCUGAGAGGGUGACCGGCCACAUUGGGACUGAGAUACGGACCAGACUCCUACGGGAGGCAGCAGGGGGGAAUAUUGCACAAUGGGCGGAAGCCUGAUGCAGAAACGCCGCGUGCGGGAUGACGGCCUUCGGGUUGUAAACCGCUUUCGCCUGUGACGAAGCGUGAGUGACGGUAAUGGGUAAAGAAGCACCGGCUAACUACGUG
rnacentral:rRNA from 1 species